rnacentral:rRNA from 1 species
GACGAACCGUGCAAACGUUGUUCGGAAUCACUGGGCUUAAAGGGCGCGUAGGCGGGCAAGCAAGUCGAAGGUGAAAUCCCACGGCUCAACCGUGGAAGUGCCCCCGAUACUGCUUGUCUUGAGGGAGAUAGGGGCGUGCGGAACUUCCGGUGGAGCGGUGAAAUGCGUAGAUAUCGGAAGGAACACCGGUGGCGAAAGCGGCGCGCUGGAUCUCUUCUGACGCUGAGGCG